rnacentral:rRNA from 1 species
GAUCAUGGCUCAGGACGAACGCUGGCGGCGCGCUUAACACAUGCAAGUCGAACGAGAGGUGAGGAGCUUGCUCUUCAAAUCGAGUGGCGAACGGGUGAGUAACGCGUGAGGAACCUGCCUCAAAGAGGGGGACAACAGUUGGAAACGACUGCUAAUACCGCAUAAGCCCAAGGCUCGGCAUCGAGCAGAGGGAAAAGGAGCAAUCCGCUUUGAGAUGGCCUCGCGUCCGAUUAG